rnacentral:rRNA from 1 species
UAACAAGGAUUCCCUUAGUAACUGCGAGUGAACCGGGAUGAGCUCAAAUUUAAAAUCUGGCGGUCCUGCCGUCCGAGUUGUAAUCUGGAGAAGCGUUUUCCGCGUCGGACCGUGUACAAGUCUCUUGGAAUAGAGCGUCAUAGAGGGUGAGAAUCCCGUCCAUGACACGGACCGCCGAUGCUAUGUGAUACGCUCUCAAAGAGUCGAGUUGUUUGGGAAUGCAGCUCAAAAUGGGUGGUAAAUUCCAUCUAAAGCUAAAUAUUGGCGAGAGACCGAUAGCGAACAAGUACCGUGAGGGAAAGAUGAAAAGCACUUUGGAAAGAGAGUUAAACAGUACGUGAAAUUGUUGAAAGGGAAACGCUUGAAGUCAGUCGCGUCGUAUGGAGCUCAGCCUUGCUUUUGCUUGGUGUAUUCUCUGUGUCGACGGGUCAACAUCAAUUUUGGCCGGUGGAGAAGGGCCUGGGGAAUGUAGCGUCGUUUCGGCGACGUGUUAUAGCCCUGGGUCAUAUGCAUCGGCCGGGAUUGAAGACCGCAGCACGCCCUUGUGGCCGGGGGUUCGCCCUACGUUCUGUGCUUAGGAUGUUGGCAAAAUGGCUUUAAGCGACCCGUCUUGAAACACGGACCAAGGAGUCUAACAUGCCUGCGAGUGUUCGGGUGGAAAACCCUUGCGCGUAAUGAAAGUGAAAGUUGGGAUCCCUCGCAAGGGGGUGCACCGACGCCCGGCCCUGACGUUCUCUGACGGUGCUGCGGUAGAGCAUGUAUGUUGGGACCCGAAAGAUGGUGAACUAUGCCUGAAUAGGGUGAAGCCAGAGGAAACUCUGGUGGAGGCUCGUAGCGAUUCUGACGUGCAAAUCGAUCGUCAAAUUUGGG